CGGGUAGGGGUCGUAACCGUACGGCGAGGGAGACGGCGGUGGGUACCCGUGCUGCUGCGAGUGCGGCGGGUACGCGUGCUGCGGAUGCGGAGGGUAGGCCUGCUGCUGGUGCGGCGCCGGCGGCGGGUAGGGCUGGAGAGGGCCGGAGUGGUGCGCGAACUGCUGCGGCGGCGCGGGGGAGUAGGCCGGGAAGGAGGUCGAGGGAGCGAGGUAGGGGGACGCCGGCGCGGCGGACAGCGGCGGGUACUGCUGGUGCUGGUAGGGGUACGGGUAGGGCUCCGGCUGCGGAUGCGGCGGGUACUGGUGGUACUGGUGCGGCGGCUGCCCCUGCCCCCCGUGGUUGCUUCCCUCCAUUGCCGAUCUCGCUGCGGGUGUGUAUCCCUAGAUUGUUUUCCCCCGAAUUGUUCGAUCCGGCUCUCGCCGCCCAGUCGUCGGUUUGACGAAGGUGAGGGGGGCGCGGCUAGGGGCGGCGGCCGCGGGGUGGCGUGCGUGAAAAUGGUGGAGUCGUGGGCGGCGACCACGACGGAAAUGAGAUCGAAAUCGGGGACGGUCGUUGGGGUUGGCCGGGCCCGGGACGGCGGCCAAGGCCAACUGGGUUCCCCACGCCCGGCCGGAUGUGGACGCUGACCAGUU
rnacentral:rRNA from 1 species